CGGCGGUAGUGCGCAGGGUCCGCCUACCGCUCGCGCGCCGCCGCCUCCGCCGCCGCUUGAGCCCAACAUGGCGAUGCACAACAAGACGGCGCCGCCGCAGAUCCCAGACACCCGGCGGGAGCUGGCCGAGCUGGUGAAGCGGAAGCAGGAGCUGGCGGAAACACUUGCAAACUUGGAGAGACAGAUCUAUGCUUUUGAAGGAAGCUACCUGGAAGACACUCAGAUGUAUGGCAAUAUUAUCCGAGGCUGGGAUCGGUAUUUGACCAAUCAAAAAAACUCCAAUAGCAAAAACGAUCGGAGGAACCGGAAGUUCAAGGAGGCCGAGCGGCUCUUCAGCAAGUCCUCGGUCACUUCGGCCGCUGCAGUAAGUGCCUUGGCAGGAGUUCAGGACCAGCUCAUCGAAAAGAGGGAACCAGGAAGUGGGACAGAAAGCGAUACUUCUCCAGACUUCCACAAUCAGGAGAACGAGCCUGCUCAGGAGGACCCCGAGGACCUGGACGGGGCCGUUCAGGGAGUGAAGCCUCAGAAGGCUGCCUCUUCUACCUCCUCAGGGAGCCACCACAGCAGCCACAAAAAACGGAAGAAUAAAAACCGGCACAGCCCGUCUGGCAUGUUUGAUUAUGACUUUGAGUAUGUAUAUUAGGUUAGGCUGGGAAGUUUUUUUUAAAAACAGAAAAACGUGAUGGAGGAUUGAUCUGAAGUUAAACAAAAAACCCCGAGCUGACUAUUAGAAGACUUGCUAGCAGAAGCUUCCAAGCCUGUGGAGCCCUGCUUUCCCUCUGACCUCACAGUGACAAUGCCCCUCGCCUGACUGUGGCCAUCUGCCUUGGCUCCCCCCAGACCCAGUGCCUGUAACUGGCUAGUCUGUCCUAACUGUAGUGACGAGUCCCUCCUAUAAGACUUUGGGCCAUUCACUGUUGUCACCAUUACCAGCAGAACGGCGGGAAGACCUGGCCUCAGCUCCAGUCCCUGCGGGUGGCUAACUGUGCAUUUCUCCCUUCUUAGAAUGAAUGUCUCCCCCCAAACUGGCUGGCACCAGCUCCAUCUGUGACCACGCACGGAGAGGUGCACAUCUCUGAUACUUGUGUUAACGCUGAAAGUAGAGCCCCAGUUCCAUUGCAGAUGGAGGCUGUAAAUAUCUGCCAUUCUUUUGUUUUGUUUUGUGUCGUAUUGUUUUUUUAUUGUUGUUUUUACCAUCUGAUUUUCUUUUGGGACAUUUUGUGAUGCCUGUAUUUUCCUGAUGACACAUCCUAUCACCUGUUUCAUGUGGUGUCAAUAUUCAUAACUGAAACUAAAGUGGCUUUUAGAAGUAAAUGGGCAACUUGGCUCUUUGGCUUUUUGAUUUCCGAAAGGGGAAGGUAGAGAGUGUCUAAUGAUGGAGUUUCACGUUAGAGGAACAAAGAAAGCUGAAAAGCAUAUUUUGAAUCUUCCUACUAGAAUAGACACUUUGUAGAAAUAAAAUUUUCUUAGCUCCUUCUUCUCAUGUGUUCCUUCUAAACCUGAGAUUUUUUUUCUCUUUAUUUUACUCCUAUCAUGCCUGUCAGAGAUUUUCUUUUUCCAUCUUUUCUCUUUUUUGCUGACAUUCACUUGCUUAGAUACUGCUCUAAAAAUCACCAAGCCAGUGGAAAGCCCAGGAUUACUGAAAGUUAGCUUCCACUGAAUAGAAUGAGAGCCUCCCAGGAGCCAGCAGUGUCCAGGCAUCUCCCUGCAGAGCUCGGUCCCUGCUCAUUUCCUCUGCUGUCUUCAGUGCAGUGGCCUUGGCUGCAUAUUGCAGUCACCUGGGGACCCAAACCCCAAGACUCUAGGGUAUGCCUCAGUUUUGAGGUUCUUCCACAGAGUCCAAGCUGCUGAUUAGGAGCCUUCUCAGGGCCAUUGUGCUAGAGACUGGCCAUACAGCCUGUUAGGCUGAGGGCUGAGGUUCCGGGCCUUACCUGUCUGUUCACUAUUUCCUAGCCCUUUCUAAUGUUUGGGUCUUUAUAAGGGACUUGGUCCUGCUGCUGGGCUGAGUAUCGAUGGCUGGUGUCUGGAAGGACCCUGUUGGAUGUGCAAAAGCCUUUCCUUUUGUUAUUAAGUAGGCUCCUAUUUUCUUUAGAUGAUUUCCCGAUCUUUGGCCUUGUCCUUAGCUGAACUUCAGUUCUUGAAGAAGUAGUUUAUAAUGUGUAGAUUGUUCCUUGAAAAGGAAAACCCCAGAAGCAUUUUGUUAGUUUUUGCUUUGUCCUUAAUUCUGAGGAAAGUAUUUUAAAGCAGACUUUCAAACAUCUGGACCUCCGUAGUUGGCUGUGUGCUAGAGGAAUAGUGGUACUGCUCAGUAAAAGGUGUGUUAUUUAUUUAUUGCAGUGUAGAGAAUUGGAUCCAGAGCCUCACCCAUGCUAGGCAAGUGACCUACCGCUGAGUACCCCCCAGUCCCUAGGGUGUGUCAUGUAAUGGCAUGUCUGUGUAUGUGACUGUCCCUGUGAGUGAGUAGAAGACUGUGGCUUGUGCCCUAUUUGCUUUAUUCCCCCCCUACCUCCCACUCCCACCCUGUAAGGUUUAAGCAUGGUUUGGGUCUUCUAGUUUUCCUAUAAGCUGGCCAGUGGUACUCAGGCUAUAAGAGAGUACUUGCUUCCCCUAUUUCGGGAUAGCUUAGAAAAAGGCACCAAGACGACUAGUGACGCAGGUCAGUUGAUGGCGUGAUGGCUGAGCCUCAGCACCAUAUAAACCUGGGCAUGGUGGUGCAUUUUUUAAUCCCAGCUCUCAGAAGGGAUCAGAAGUCAGGGUCAUCCCAGGCUGCAUGCGGAGUUUGAGGUCAGCCUGGGCUAUAAGAAACCUCUCUUUAAAGAAAAGAAAGAAAGAAAGAAAGAAAGAAAGAAAGAAAGAAAGAAAGAAAGAAAAAGAAGACUAACUCCCAUAGGUUCCUGCCUCUCUGAACCAUGCUGUGAUGGUAAUUCUGUCAACCAAGUUUGCUUACAAGUCAUUGAUGGAAAGAACGAAUGUGCUUACACAAAAGAACAUUAAUCUCCGUGGACAGGAUAGCCUUUCUUUGUAGCCAGCCAGCCAGCCAGCCAGCAGUCCCUAAACUGAAGGGGCAACUAAGGCCCCAUACGGUUGUGGGAGGGACUGGUUUAAAGGAGUAAUCUAACUCCUGAGUCAGGUGCAAUGGGACAGGCCUGUCAUCCUGACACUAGGGAAGUGGAGGCAGAGGGUUUCAAGGCCAGUCUAGGCUCUAACGAGCUGGCCAGUGUUGGAGGAGGGGUGAUCUGCUUGUCCUCUGGAAGGACAAAGGAAAGGCACGGAGGGCAGCACACUAGGAAGAACUUGCCCUUGACCUCUGGUAGUUGUAAGAUAAGACCUGGCCUGUUUGUCCCCUACUUGGAGUACAGCCUAGUGCAAAGCUUCAUGGGAGUGUCAAGUGCACUGUUCCAAAGACUGAGGAAGGGGCCAUCUGUUUAAACUCAGUGUUCCUAAUACUCUUGGGAUACAUGAGGAGAAAGUGGGAAGCAGGGCCAGCCCAGAGUUGGGGUCUGCAGGAGAGACCUUAGGAAGCUUGGGAAUUGGGACAAGGCCAGUGUGGGCCAAGAGCAAUCCUUUCAAAGCCAAUGUCCUGACCUCAGAGAGGCCCUGGGUCUCAGGAGCCUUGUGGCACCGGGAAAGGGAGGCCUGUUGCACAGGUUAAACCGUUUCUCCAUGUGUGAAUCUGUACUGUUUGCUUUCAGGAAUAGCUUUUGUACUAUGAGUAGGAAGCAGGCAGUGGGGUGUUCACCUCGAAACGUGAACCCUUUUGGCCCUGGGUGCAGGAAUGGUAGAGAGAUGCUCCUAUCUCCACCCGUGCGUGAAGGAACCCAUCCUUGUUACCAGUCGCUGUGUGGCUUUGAAGCGCUCCCUGCUUUGGUUUUGGCAACUAUUUGAACCUUCCAACCAACCCUCAGCCUUAUUCCAAAUCACUAAGGCAUUUGCACACUUGCAGAUCUUUUCAGAAGCUUCGACUCGAUGUUCUGGUAGCAGGAAGCGGACGGCAGUGCUCUGGGUGCACUGCUUCCUCCUGGCAUAGGGCUGCUGGGAAGAGUGCCUGGGAGGGCUCUGUGUGUGUGUGGGGGGGGGGGGUUGGGGAGAGGGGGAGUGGCAGCAGUGUAGGGGAGGGCAUACUGGUCUAUCCCUGUGUUCAUAAUGUGUUCCCAGGUCUGGAUCUUUGGGGUCAGUCUCAGGAUUUGAAGCACAGGUUUCAUUUUAAGCACUGUUCUGUGGAGUCAGUUGUUCCACGGGCCUGAAAGAAAGCAGGUGUGCUGGCAUGGGUGCCAGCUCUUGCUCAUGUAGCCAAGGGAAAGGGAGUGGGCGUGGAUGGCUUGGAGCGUGGGAGGGAAAGAGCACAUCUUCAAUGUGUUUUCACUUUGGACCUCAGCCUUGUGUACUUUUUCACUUUGAAUAUGUUGUGUAAUACACCUAAAUCCUAGUUCAUUAAUACAUGUGGAUAAUUUAUAAAUAAAUAUUAGGUUGAACCACAAGAA